UACGUAGGGUGCAAGCGUUAAUCGGAAUUACUGGGCGUAAAGCGUGCGCAGGCGGUGAUGUAAGACAGGUGUGAAAUCCCCGGGCUUAACCUGGGAACUGCAUUUGUGACUGGCGGGCUAGAGUAUGGCAGAGGGGGGUAGAAUUCCACGUGUAGCAGUGAAAUGCGUAGAGAUGUGGAGGAAUACCAAUGGCGAAGGCAGCCCCUGGGCCCAAUACUGACGCUCAUGCACGAAAGGCGUGGGGAGCAAACAGG
rnacentral:rRNA from 1 species